rnacentral:RNase_P_RNA from 1 species
CAAUGCAUGAGGAAAGUCCGGGCUUCAAAGAGACAAGAUGCCAGUUAACGACUGGGCGGGGUAACCCGACGGAUUAGUGUCGCAGAAAAGAAAACUCCCGCGCACUGUGUGUGCGAGAAAAGCUGAAACGGUGUGGUAAGAGCGCACCAGCAUGUUGGCAACAGCAUGGCUUGAUAAACCCCAUCUGAAGCAAGCGCAAGUAGGAACGCGCAUGAGGUGUCUCUUCCUCGCGUUCGGGUUGCGUGCUAGAGGUGUGCGGCGACGCACAUCCAAGAUAAAUGACCGUCGCUCUGCUAAAACUAGCAGUUCACAGAACCCGGCUUAUAUGGCCUC